CAAAUCUUAGAGUAUUCUAAUCUUCUGGAGUAACUUCAGGGAGUCCAUCUGGGUCUGCACAUGAAUCUUGUUUAUGAAUGCUUCCCUUUGGCUUCUCAAUCACUGACACUUGUGCUUAGAACUCAGCAUCCAUGUUGUGAGGAAGCCCAAACUAGCCCUCACAGAGAAACUGCAUGGGGCAAAACAUGCCAGCCAGAGCCAGCUGAGGACAAAGCCACAGCCAGUACUAAC